GACGAACGCUGGCGGCGUGCUUAACACAUGCAAGUCGAACGGAAAGGCCCUGCUUUUGUGGGGUACUCGAGUGGCGAACGGGUGAGUAACACGUGAGUAACCUGCCCUUGACUUUGGGAUAACUUCAGGAAACUGGGGCUAAUACCGGAUAGGAGCUCCUGCUGCAUGGUGGGGGUUGGAAAGUUUCGGCGGUUGGGGAUGGACUCGCGGCUUAUCAGCUUGUUGGUGGGGUAGUGGCUUACCAAGGCUUUGACGGGUAGCCGGCCUGAGAGGGUGACCGGCCACAUUGGGACUGAGAUACGGCCCAGACUCCUACGGGAGGCAGCAGUGGGGAAUAUUGCACAAUGGGCGGAAGCCUGAUGCAGCAACGCCGCGUGCGGGAUGACGGCCUUCGGGUUGUAAACCGCUUUCGCCUGUGACGAAGCGUGAGUGACGGUAAUGGGUAUAGAAGCACCGGCUAACUACGUG
rnacentral:rRNA from 1 species